rnacentral:lncRNA from 1 species
AGGUUUCUUGGCAAGCCGAAGCACUUCUAAUUCUAUUACCGAAUUCACUAUCUUAAAGACGUUUAAGGUUGAUGCACGUCCACCUACAAGUGUUAUGAUCAAGCAAAUAAAUUGACACUUUCCAAUAUGUGGUCAUAUGAAGUGCAAUACUGAUGGAGCAACUCUGCUUGUGGUGGCAUAUUUCGUGAUAAAUUUGGUGC